GACGAACGCUGGCGGCGUGCUUAACACAUGCAAGUCGAACGGAAAGGCCCUGCUUGUUUGGGGUGCUCGAGUGGCAAACGGGUGAGUAACACGUAAGUAACCUGCCCUUCUCUUUGGUGUAACUUCAGGAAACUGGGGCUACUCUCGGAUCGGAUCUCCUCCUGCAUGGUGGGGGUUGGAUAGUUUCGGCGGUUGGGGCUGGACGCGCGGCUUAUCAGCUUGUUGGUGGGGUAGUGGCGUACCAAGGCGUUGACGGGUAGCCGGCCUGGGAGGGUGACCGGCCACAGUGGGACUGGGAAACGGCCAAGAGGCCUACGGGAGGCAGGAGUGGGAAAUAUUGCACAAUGGGCGGAAGCGUGAUGCAGCAACGCCGCGUGGGGGAGGACGGCCUUUGGGUUGGAAACCGCUUUGGCUUGUGACGAGGCGUGAGGGACGGUAAUGGGUAAAGAAGCACCGGCUAACUAGGG
rnacentral:rRNA from 1 species